rnacentral:rRNA from 1 species
GAUGAACGCUGGCGGCGUGCCCAAUACAUGCAAGUCGAGCGAAUGGAUUAAGAGCUUGCUCUUAUGAAGUUAGCGGCGGACGGGUGAGUAACACGUGGGUAACCUGCCCAUAAGACUGGGAUAACUCCGGGAAACCGGGGCUAAUACCGGAUAACAUUUUGAACCGCAUGGUUCGAAAUUGAAAGGCGGCUUCGGCUGUCACUUAUGGUUGGACGCGCGUCGCAUUAGCUAGUUGGUGAGGUAACGGCUCACCAAGGCAACGAUGCGUAGCCGACCUGAGAGGGUGAUCGGCCACACUGGGACUGAGACACGGCCCAGACUCCUACGGGAGGCAGCAGUAGGGAAUCUUCCGCAAUGGACGAAAGUCUGACGGAGCAACGCCGCGUGAGUGAUGAAGGCUUUCGGGUCGUAAAACUCUGUUGUUAGGGAAAAACAAGUGCUAGUUGAAUAAGCUGGCACCUUGACGGUACCUAACCAGAAAGCCACGGCUAACUACGUGCCAGCCGCCGCGGUAA